UACGUAGGGCGCAAGCGUUAUCCGGAAUGAUUGGGCGUAAAGCGUCCGCAGGUGGCUAUGUAAGUCUGCUGUUAAAGAGUGAGGCUCAACCUCAUAAGAGCAGUGGAAACUACAUGGCUAGAGUGCGUUCGGGGCAGAGGGAAUUCCUGGUGUAGCGGUGAAAUGCGUAGAGAUGUGGAGGAACACCGAUAGCGAAGGCAGCUUACUGGGCUGUAACUGACGCUGAUGCACGCAAGUGUGGGGAUCAAACAGG
rnacentral:rRNA from 1 species